ensembl:lncRNA
AUCAAAUUCGGGCUUCCCUCACAGCUCAGUUGGUAAAUCACCUGCCUGCAAUGCAGGAGAUCUGGGUUCAAUUCCUGGGUCGGAAGGAUCUCAUGGAGAAGGAAAUGGCAACCCACUCCAGUACUCUUGCCUGGGAAAUCCCAUGGACAGAGGAGCCUGGCGUGCUACAUUCUACGGGAUCACAAGAGUCGGACACGACUUAGCAACUAAACCACACCACCACCACGCAUCAAAUUCAAAUGCCUCGCUGGGGUGUUACCUGACGGGUUAGUCCUCCCCUGCUUGUCUACUGGCCUGACCUACUGAGGUCCCAGAAUGGCUGGGAGCUCUUUCACCCACCGCGUGACAAGAUGAGAGAAGGAACCACUUAGAAGUCUAAAGUGAGGAUGUCAGCUAACUGUCAAAAGGCCCAGGAAGAUGAGAAAAGCCACUGACUGGCUUUUGUAAUUUAUACAGACAAGUUGGCAUGGUUUGGGCCGUUCCCAUAUCUACAGCCCUGCAUCCUGAACCACACGGCCAGAAUGUGUGUGCCACAGGCUCGAAGCAAAACCACAUCGCACAAGGGAAACAGGAAGUGCAUGAGAAGGCGGACAAAUAGAGAAGUCAGCUGAAGGCCAAGGACAUGCAGAAGAGUUUUCAAGCUGAGAUUGGUGGUGCUUGUUUAAAGCUGAAAGGCAACCAACAGGGACCUAGAAUCGCACACAGGAAACUCUACUCAAUAUUCUGAAAUGACCUACAUGGGAAAAGACUCUGAGAAAGAAUGGAUAUGUGCAUAACUGAUUCACUUUACACCUGAAACACAGCACUGUACAUCAACC